CGCUUCAGUUCUCGUGCUAUGUUUGUCCAACCAGAUAUGCAAAUUUGCAUCUAUGUACCACACAUUCAAGGCAUUGGUAACAUUAAACCCAAUCUUGUGGCUCUUCCCAUCCAAUAUGUUCCCUAAAAACGGUGUGAUUUCGAUAUCAUAAGAAGGUAGAUCAUAUGAGCCAAUGCCGGUAAUGGGUCUCCAAAGAAGAGGAUUGAUCCCUCCAGUAUAAACCACAGUAAAAGGCCAAACAGCACCAACAAUCACACCAUCUAAACUCACCACAACCUCCCUGAAAGGCCCAUUUCCGGCCGUGCCAGUAAGGUUAUUGGCAGCGAUGUACUCAUUAGUAGGAUUGGCAUACCAAAACUCAUCAUUUUCAUGAAAUGAAACAUACACCUCCAACACAGCCCUAUAAGCAUUCUGAGGAAUCUCAAAUUCCUUCAACUCAGUAUCAGUUGAAUUUUCAAUUUCUAACCACAACCCAUCAGUCAAAGGUAGAUUCCUCGAAAUGGGCAGAAUCAAAUCCGCCCAAGAAUGAUACCCAGAUGCCAAAUCCCCCACAUUUUGAUCAAAACUACGCAAACUCACUUCAGCAGGGUAAAAAUGAAAACUUAUAUUCACAUGGUAAACUCCAGUAUAUGUUGAAUCAAUCAAAUUGCCAAGAUAAACAGCAAGUGUCUGAUUCUUUUGGAGCAACGAAUAGUACCUGGUAAUGUCCUUCUCAACACUCCAGACAAUCCCAUUGGUCCUUGGCUCAGCUGUGCAGCUCCUGAGAAGCUCAACCCCAGAAAGCCAGACCCCAAAAAUGCGAUCAAAUUGUCUUCCUUUGCUUGUAGCUCUCCAUUCAAGAACAAUCUUGGAGAAAUUCUGAGAUGGGCAAUCUGAGGGAGGAGUGUAGUUAGCAAAGACUGGUGGUUUUCCGUAAGUGUAGGCAAAGUCAUGUUGGAGAAUGAGUUGGGAACAAGGCUUGGUUUUGGGUACUGGAAUGGGCUUGGUGACUUCAAAGUAAAGGGUUGGUGGAGUGUCAUUGAGAGAAAUGGUUUGGGAGAUGAGCUCUGAUCUGAGCUGGUUGAGUUUGUGGAUGUUGGCAAUGGAGAAGAGAGGUUGGAGGAGGAGGAAGAAGAGGAGAGGCAACAGAGUAGACAUGACUGGUUGUUGAGUUGUGAUUGCUUUGGGGAGCUGCUUUGUUAUAUCAGCUCCUACAUUGGAUACUUUGUUCUGUUUUAUUUUGUUUGGAGUGGUUAACAAUGCUGAGCUGGGUGAUCCUAAAUUCUUGUAUUCAUUACCUUUGAAGGAAAGUUAACUUCAUUGUAAAUUUUUACUAGUAAAUUUGUAAUUUUCUUUGUAAAAAGUUAAGCUGGGAUAGCUAUUUAUUGCUACUCUGUGGUAUUGACUACUGGGUAGUGAGUACUGACUAUAAUGAAGGGGUAUAGUGGUCCUGGUGUUGGAAAUCAGAUUUGGAAAGAGUUUCCAAAACUAGUGAGAGCUUGAUAUAUGGAAUUUCAUUUGCAUCCUGAAAUUGCUUCUAGUUCCUCUUCAAAGUAACCUAGAGUAAGUACUUGAACCAAAAAUCUGAUGAAGGCUUUAAUUUGGUAAAUUUAGUGGUCUCUACUCUAUAGUGUGUCAAUGGUCUACUCAAAAGCAAACUGUUGUUUUGAUGAGUCUUCCUUUGUUUGGCCUUCUGGUAUAUCUGAAAAGAUUGUCCAUUAUUGUGAAAGAAACUGUAGGCACUUAUGCAUCUGUGUUUUCUUGUCUAUAACACAUUGCUCGAACUUGCAGAAAUAUGAUCCCAAUAGUAGUAUUCUUCAUUUGAUCUCAUCAUUCUUAAGUGUCAAUGUUCUAUGAUUCAUAUGGGCAACGAACUACACUUUGAGUGACUAUGAGUUGCAUGCUUGAUCAUCCCAAGCACAAUACUGCAAUAUUACACAGAAGUUGCACAACAAAAAUUGUUGAUCUAAGAAAUCCAAAUGAAUAUGAAACAUUUAGCACGGAUGAUUAGCAGAUUUAUUCUUUGCAUAUCUUUGCAUUACAUUUAUAUAUUAUAAGUCUAAUGAUUCUCCUGAGUAAUGUAUAUAUAUGGUAUAAGGUUUAAUAGUUGAACUCAAAGAUAAAGAUAGGUUUCAGAUGAUAUUAGAUUUCUGUACCAGGUUCAGAUUAUAUUAAAGCGAUUGAUUAUGCAUAAAAAGUAGCUAGCUCCUACAAUCAAUGGUUUAUAGUUCCUGCAUAAACUUGCAUUAUAUUGAGAUAAGCCAGUUCAUCUGAACCACUGUUCAUAAAUACCAGGUAAAAGAAAACUAGACUGACUUUUAAAUUUCUAAGAACAAUAUCCACAAAUAUAAAAUGGUGUACUCACAUUUCAGUCUGAGGUACUGACAUACAGAUAGAGGCACCCACUUCAAACUCUUAGCAAUUUAGCAUAUGAGUACUUUUAUGUAGAACGAGAAGAUGCAUCAAGAUGAAUAAGCAAAGUUUCAACAUUGUUCUCAAAUAAUUCCAGCACCAAAAGGCCAUAGUCUACUCAAACCAAAAUCCCAAUCAGACUUUGGUUUAUUGUUGCAUGUAUUCACGACCUUAUCAUAAAGUAUGGUGUAGUUUGAGCUGCUUAUAUUCCUAAAGUAACAAGAUUUUCCACCAUGAUAUAUGUACACUUGCUGUGUAUUCCCCACUCCACUAACUACCAAAUGAUCUUUUACAACCAUAUUACCCUCAGCAUUCUGCAAAUUCUUUAGAGAGCUCUUCAAGAAUUGAGAACCAGCGCUCGCGGUUUUCUUCUCAAUAAAUCCCAAACUAAUAUUCGUCACCAAUAAGUAUGAAUUAUUUUUUUGCUCCAAGUAGUCAGUAUACAAGUAAAGGGGAAAUGUCUUGUGUGAUGUGAGUGACUGAACAAUGGAGGAAGGCAGCUUGCUGUGAACGGUGUCAUUGAAAUGGAUGUUCUGGUUCACUAUCUGCACAUUACCAUUACUCCCCAUGACCAUUGUAUUACCGUAGUAAAAUUCCUGAACUGACUGGGUUGUAACAUUCCCAUUAGAUGACUUCACCCACCCAGUCGAUGAGACAGACCUGCUUGUCCUUGUUAUAAAUGUGCCAUUUAAACCCUUGAAAUCCGACACUAGUGAAACAACAAGGGGCAAGCUAGCAUGCUUCACAAGCUGUCCCUCAGUUCUUUUGCUCUGUUUGUCCAACCAAAUAUGCAGAUUUGCAUCUAUGUACCAAACAUUCAAGGCAUUGGUGACAUUAAACCCAAUCUUGUGGCUCUUCCCAUCCAAUAUGUUCCCUAAAAACGGUGUGAUCUCGAUGUCAUAAGAAGGGAGAUUGUAUGAGCCAAUUGCAGUAAUGGGUCUCCACAAGAGAGGAUUGACCCCUCCUGUGAAUAUCACUGUAAAAGGCCAGACAGCACCAACAAUCUGAUCAUCUAUACUGACCACAACCUCCCUAAAAGGUCCAUUUCCAGGCAAGCUAAGGUUGUUUGCAGCAAUGUACUCAUUAGUAGGAUUUGCAUACCAUGAUUCAUCAUUCUCAUGAAAGGAAACAUACACUUCCAACACAGCCCUAUAAGCAUUUUGAGGAAUCACAAAUUCCUUCAACUUAGUAUCAGUCGAAUUCUCAAUUUCAAACCACAACCCAUCAUUCAAAGGCAAAUUUCUCGAAAUGGGCAGAAUCAAAUCCGCCCAAGAAUGAUACCCAGAUGCCAAAUUAUCCACAUUUUGAUCAUAACUAUGCAAACUUGCCUCAGCAGGAUAAAAAUGAAAUCUUAUAUUCACAUGGUAAACCCCAGUAU
rnacentral:lncRNA from 1 species